AGCGAACGCUGGCGGCAGGCCUAACACAUGCAAGUCGAACGAACUCUUCGGAGUUAGUGGCGGACGGGUGAGUAACCCGUGGGAACGUGCCUUUUGGUUCGGAAUACCUCAGGGAAACUUGUGCUAAUACCGAAUGUGCCCUUCGGGGGCAAGAUUUAUCGCCAUUAGAGCGGCCCGCGUCUGAUUAGCUAGUUGGUGAGGUAACGGCUCACCAAGGCGACGAUCAGUAGCUGGUCUGAGAGGAUGACCAGCCACACUUGGACUGAGACACGGCCCAGACUCCUACGGGAGGGAGGAGAGGGGAAUCUAGCGCAAUGGGGGAAAUGCUGAAGGAGCCAGGCCGGGAGAAUGAUGAAGGUCUUAGGAAAGUAAAAUUCUUUCACCGGGGACGAUAAUGACGGUACCCGGAGAAGAAGCCCCGGCUAACUUCGUG
rnacentral:rRNA from 1 species